CGGUGGCGGUGGCGGAGACUGUGGCUUUAAGAGCGCGCUGGGAGCGCUAGAGUCAGCCGUGCAGCCCUUCUUCGCCAAGCACUCCGGAGCAGCCGAGCUCGGGGCUGGCCGGACCCGGCAGCCUGCCGCCAGACUGACUCCUCCAAAGCCUGGGAUCUGAAGUCCGUAUGUGUCUGCACUCCAUGUGUAUGCCUGGUGCCUGAAGAGGCUGCUGAGAACCAGCUCUAGACCUCUACUAGAGAGUCCUUCUUCUGAAGACAUCACCAGUGUGUGGAACCUGCCGCACACCCACCCCCUGCCAAACCACGGCCUUUACCUGUGUCUUUCGGUGUUUCCCGUGCGACCCUUCCUGUGGG
rnacentral:lncRNA from 1 species